rnacentral:rRNA from 1 species
UACGAAGGGGGCUAGCGUUGCUCGGAAUUACUGGGCGUAAAGGGCGCGUAGGCGGGUGUCUAAGUCAGAGGUUAAAUCCCAGAGCUCAACUCUGGAACUGCCUUUGAGACUGGACGCCUAGAGUUUGGGAGAGGUGAGUGGAAUGCCGAGUGUAGAGGUGAAAUUCGUAGAUAUUCGGCGGAACACCAGUGGCGAAGGCGACUCACUGGCCCAAUACUGACGCUG